GCAGAUUUUGCUGCUGAUCUCGGGCGUAGCUGAUAUCCGGACCGCUGCCAAACACUAGUGAUCCGAGCCGCGCGUUGACCGGACAGUGGCCACAUGCAUGUAUAGAUCCCGUAUCUGACGUAUAGUACCCUUUGCGCGGUACUGUAUUGGAGUGAAAAAGAUUCCCCCCGAGGGGCCCGUCCGUGUCCAUCUCCACGUACGCGUCCCUCUCCCCAACCCCACACUCGUCCGAGGCGACUACUGUCCGCCCUUUCUUCUCCACACGCCUGUAUCCGCGCCGCCGCCAUUGCCGGAAGCAUCGGAAAGCUUCAAGCGGCGCGCAUCUCUUGGGACCGUGCCCCCGUCCCCGCCUCCACCCCCACCCUCCGUCUCCUACUCCCCUGUUCUAGUCCCCCACGACUACCUAGCUCCGCCACCACCAUUCCCCACACUCCCGUCUCCAAAGCUCCAGAUCUUGUCGCCGGUACCCUUUCUACUUCUGCUAUUUGCUUUAGAUACCCCUCCGUCAAGAUCCCGCGUGCCACAUCGAAGAUCUACAACGCGGUGUUCCCCUGUGGCGGAUCAAAAGAGGAAACAACAAUUCAAUCUCGCCUCUCCCAAGCGACGACGACUUCGCGGGCACGGAGAUGGAACCUGAGGUAUCUUCAAAGUCGCAGCUUAUUGUUUGGUCUCUGUUCGUUUGGCUGCAAUGUUUGAAUCUUUUAGUCUGAAUCUAGCUAACGCCGUUUUAAUCUCCUUCCCCCACCGCCUUUGCUUAUUUAUCAGUUGCCUGAAUUCUGGGUGAAUCUUUGUCGCCUAACAUGUCACGCCAUUCAGACUAAAAUUAUAUUAUUGGAAAUGUUUAGUUUUAUCAAAAUGUUACUGGAAUUUAAGAUCUGUAGAUUAUAAGUGAAGGCUAGGUCGGGAUGCUAGCUUAGAGAUGUGACUUCUCAGUCAACUUAUUAUUAGAUAACCCCUUAGCAAGUUGACAGACAAAAUACAUCUUACAUGAGAUAUAUUUUCUGAGUGUGAAGUGCGGCACAUGCAGAUCCCAGCCCAUAAAUAAUUAUAAAAGGGGAGUCUGUUCUUAUAUCUCAAAACGACGUAGUAGUAGUCAUGCACAAUGAUCACACCUAUAAACAAUUUCAAUUAUAUUUGGGAUUAAUGUAUGAAUUUCUUCUUAAGAUGCAUGUAAAACCCAUGCAUAAGUUACCGUCUGACAGAAGAUAGAUGAGUGAUGGAUUCUUGCUCCUAGAUCUGCUAGUCUUCUAGUAUUUCAGAUCAUUUGAACAGAUUGUGUUGAUCCUUGCAUAAUGCAGAAAACUACUUUCUUCAUGCAGUAAUAAAUGUAGAAGAGAAAGCUUCUACUUCAGUGAUUGCCCACCAUUUACUUUGAAACCUGCAGUCUGGUCGUGUUCUCAAGAGUUGUACCUUAAUGAUUAGAUUAUCUUUUACAAGGUCACUGACUGUGUAUAGACAGGGGGCAAGUUAUUUAGUGGUAGCUGCUAGUUAAUAUGAAUAUAUAAGAAGCCUAUUGUUCAUCUUGCUGGCUUCCGGUGGUCUAUCAAUGAUGUUAACUUUCAUUUUCGACAGUUGUAGCUUGUAAUGAAACAUGUUGUGACCUAUUCAACAGCCGUCCAUAAAGGACGUCGAAGAUUUUUCAAAAUUUGAAUGUAUCUAUACACUAAGAGUGUCUAGAUACAUUCAAAUUUUGACAAACUUUCAACAUCUUUGGACAGAGGUGGUACAAAUUUUCCUAAUAUUCCAUCCUUUUGCUGUACCUAGUGGGCACAUGAAUGAUAACCAUAUCAUUUAAGGAAUUGCUUAGAUGUUCUUUUCGUUUUUUACUCUUGCACUGUUGGUGAAAGAUGUCCAUGUACCUGAGAUGGCUACCUAAAUGAAUAGUAUAAAUGCAUAUAAUGUCCGAGUUUGACAUCAUAAACUUGCCUAGUGUUAUUCCUCUAUUCCCUAUUGUUAUUCCUGUGUUUUAUAUUUGUAAGAGAUAGCAUAUAUUACCUCUAUUCCGAAAUAUAAGCCUUUCGAAAAAGGCUCAUGUUUUGGAACGGGGGUAGUAACAGUUAUACUGUUUUGACAAAUUUAACCCGAUUCGACAUAUUUAUCCUGAUUCUAGAAUGUUUGAUACAUGGUGCCUGGCAUAAAUCAAUUGGUGAAUCUCUGCUUUGUUAUCUCACUAAUCCUGAGUUCUAUACUAGUAGCCUAGUGACUUGUUGGAACAAAGAGGGAGCAUGUAAAUUAUUUUUUUCUGACCUUAUAUUUUCAAUUCGUCUUUGUAUACAUGGUGUACAUGCAUGCAUCUAGUGGGAUAUCAACCUUUUAUCAGGUAAAUGUUAACUAAUCUCUAAGAGACUAAGAUUGCACCCCUAGAUGAACCUUACAAAAUUGUACAUGAUAAGAAUUAGUGCGACUACUUGGUGGUUUCAGUUAGUUUCCCGAUCAAAUGAACUAACUAAUAUAUGUAGUGCUUCAUUUAGUACUCUUAACGCAUUUUGCAGGAGUUGACACAUAUUAGAUUGCCUGUAUUUUUUUGUCGGAUGUCUUCAGCAUAUCAUCGUUUCAUUAUAUUGCAAAGGUGUCUGUCCUAUUUUUAUUUACAACUUAAGUAUUAGUUAGACGUGUCCAUGUAUAUAAUUAUAUAUGUUAGAUUGUUAAAGUUAGGACUGUAUGGUGAGACACGGAGAACUCUAUGGCCUCUAUGUGUAGGACCAUUAAUACAUCUACAACACUACUCGUAGCCUCUCUCAGGCAAAGGCAUCUUCUGAGGUAAAAGUCACGAGAAGGAAUCUUGCCUUCCUGGGUGCGGGACCAGUGGAGUAAAGAGCUGGGUUGCACGUGGGGAAGGCAUCUUCUGAGCGCUUUGGAUUGAGGAAAACAACCCGCAGAUUGCGUUUGAGCAGAAGGAGCCCAAACCGAAGAAGAGGGAGCUCAAGGUGAAGGAAGUGAUCGGGAACAACAGCGAGAAAGCCUCGCGAACUUUUAAUGUGUAUGCCAAUGUGUGCAUCUCUGCUCUCAGUGUAGUUGUUAUUCUGUUUCCAAAUCUUGUGUUCGUUCUUCUAAAAUAGCUCAUUAGACUGAUUGUAUUAUAGAAUUUUGAAAAAACAUGUAUAUUGCUUCAGAUGUUUCCUUGUAUCUAUUUCCAUGUUAACAAGUUUACCUCUACCUAACAAUAAAUUCCCAGCCAUGUUAUUGAUAUGCACUAUAUUUUUAUCU